rnacentral:rRNA from 1 species
CUAACACAUGCAAGUCGAACGCAGUAGCAAUACUGAGUGGCAAACGGGUGAGUAUAAUGCGGGAAUCUGCCUUUUGGUUCGGAAUAACACGAGGAAACUUGUGCUAAUACCGGAUAAGCCCUUACGGGGAAAGUUUUAAUGCCAAAAGAUGAGCCCGCACUUGAUUAGCUAGUUGGUGAGGUAAUGGCUCACCAAGACAAUGAUCAAUAGCUGUUCUUAGAGGAAGACCAGCCACAUUGGGACUGAGACACGGCCCAAACUCC